rnacentral:rRNA from 2 species
UAAUGCAGUCGAGCGAAUCUGAUGGGAGCUUGCUCCCUGAUGAUUAGCGGCGGACGGGUGAGUAACACGUGGGUAACCUGCCUGUAAGACUGGGAUAACUCCGGGAAACCGGGGCUAAUACCGGAUAACUUUUUUCUUCGCAUGAAGGAGAAUUGAAAGAUGGCUCCGGCUAUCACUUACAGAUGGACCCGCGGCGCAUUAGCUAGUUGGUGAGGUAACGGCUCACCAAGGCGACGAUGCGUAGCCGACUUGAGAGGGUGAUCGGCCACACUGGGACUGAGACACGGCCCAGACUCCUACGGGAGGCAGCAGUAGGGAAUCUUCCGCAAUGGACGAAAGUCUGACGGAGCAACGCCGCGUGAGUGAUGAAGGUUUUCGGAUCGUAAAACUCUGUUGUUAGGGAAGAACAAGUAUCGUUCGAAUAGGGCGGUACCUUGACGGUACCUAACCAGAAAGCCACGGCUAACUACGUGCCAGCAGCCGCGGUAAUACGUAGGUGGCAAGCGUUGUCCGGAAUUAUUGGGCGUAAAGCGCGCGCAGGCGGUUUCUUAAGUCUGAUGUGAAAUCUUGCGGCUCAACCGCAAGCGGCCAUUGGAAACUGGGAGACUUGAGUGCAGAAGAGGAGAGUGGAAUUCCACGUGUAGCGGUGAAAUGCGUAGAGAUGUGGAGGAACACCAGUGGCGAAGGCGACUCUCUGGUCUGUAACUGACGCUGAGGCGCGAAAGCGUGGGGAGCGAACAGGAUUAGAUACCCUGGUAGUCCACGCCGUAAACGAUGAGUGCUAAGUGUUAGAAGGGUUUCCGCCCUUUAGUGCUGCAGCUAACGCAUUAAGCACUCCCGCCUGGGGAGUACGGCCCGCAAGGCUGAAACUCCAAAGGAAUUAGACGGGGGGCCCGCACAAAGCUGUGGGAACCAUGUGGGUUUAAAUUCCAAAGCAACCCCGAAGAAACCUUACCCAGGGCUUGGACAUCCCUCUUGGA